GGCUCAAUGGUCUAGUGGUAUGAUUCGCCCUUCGGGUUUACCAAUCCUUGCGCACAGCGUGAAAUUGGGCGAGGUCUCGGGUUCGAAUCCCGAUUAAGCCC
rnacentral:tRNA from 1 species